UACGUAGGUGGCAAGCGUUGUCCGGAUUUACUGGGCGUAAAGAGCGCGCAGGCGGUCGUUCAAGUCGCGUGUGAAAGCCCCCGGCUCAACUGGGGAGGGUCACGCGAUACUGAUCGACUCGAAGGCAGGAGAGGGAAGUGGAAUUCCCGGUGUAGUGGUGAAAUGCGUAGAUAUCGGGAGGAACACCAGUGGCGAAGGCGACUUCCUGGACCAGUACCGACGUUCAGGCACGAAAGCGUGGGGAGCAAACAGG
rnacentral:rRNA from 1 species